GAACGCAAAUCUUUUUGAAGAUCUCACAUCGAGCAUCGUAAACAAAAGUUUUUCUUUUCACCAGAAUGAAAACAAGCAUCGGAGUUUGAGUUCCUUUUUAGAUUCAUCUUCCCACUCGCAAUAUGAAAGAAACGUCAGAGAAUAUUCUUCAACGCAUGACUGAUCAAAAAAUAACUUGGAAAUAAUCGGUAUCAUUAGCAAUUUGUAGAUUGUUGCGAGGAAGUCGAGGGCAGGAAAAGGUUUUGCGCCAGGUUGGAUUGUCCUGGCGGUUUAUUUGACAAUA